GGCUGGUCCCAAGGUAAUGACUUAUCUCAAUUAAUUUUUCACAGUCAGGUACAGAUUGAACUCCUUGUUCUAGUCCUUCCCCCUUUCUCAUUACUGCACUUGACUAAUCUUAU
rnacentral:Y_RNA from 1 species